rnacentral:rRNA from 1 species
AAUUUCAUUUAAAUUAAAUUAAUUUUUUUAAGUAAAAAAAAAGUAGUUUUUGAUGAAUUAAUUAUUGAAUAAAUCUAAUUUAAUAUACAAUUAAAAAUUGAAGUAAUAUACAAACCUUUUUAUAAAAAAUUAAAUUUAAGUUUUAAAAUUAUUUUAAAGUUUUAUAUAUAUAUAAAGAUUAAUAAUUUAAAUAAUUUUUUUGUUAAUAUAUAUAAUUGAUUAUUAAUGAGAAUUAUAAUUUGAUUAUUUUUUUUAAUUUAUUAAAUUAGUGCCAGCAAUAGCGGUUAAACUAUAAAUUAAAUUUAAUUUUAUGAUAUUAAAUAAAUAUUUAAUGAUUAAGAAUUAAAUAUAUAUUAUUUUUUGAUGAAAUAUAAAAUAAAUAUAUGAUUUUUUAAAUGAUUUUUAUAAAUUUUAUAAAAAACUAGGAUUAGAUACCCUAUUAUAAAAGUAAAUUUUUAUAAUAUAAAGGAUUAAUUGAUUAUUCAAUAAAUUUAAUAAAUUUGGCGGUAUUUUAAUUUUUUAGAGGAACUUGUUUAUUAAUUGAUAAUACACGAUUGGAUUAGCUUAAUUUUAUAAUUUGUGUAUUGUUGUUUUAAAAAUAUUUUGUUAAAAAUAUAUUUUAAUUUUUUUAUUGAAUUUAAUUCAGAUCAAAAUGUAGUUUUUAAUUAAGAUUAUUAUGAGUUACAAUUUAUUUUAUUAAUGGAUUUAUAUUUUAAUAUAUAUAAUGAAAUUGGAUUUAAAAGUAAAAUUAAUUAUAAUAAUUAAUUUGAAUAAAAUAUUAAAAUAUGUACUGUUACGAUCCGCCAUUUUUCGGACCGAAAAAUUUCAUCAUCCUCUCUUGAGGAUGAGUCGGCAAUCGCAACUUCAAAUAUCUUUAAUCUCGUACCUCGCGACCAUCUC